CUAGGGUUUCCCCCUUUUGUUAUUCCUUCUACAUCUCUAUUUCUCCUACAAAUAAAGUUAGAUCUUGUUCUGUUUGUGUUUCUGUUACAGUUUUCUUGAUAGGAUCUGAUCGGAUCAGAUCGAGAUCCUCAAACCGAUAAUGGAAACGCUUGGGUACGACUUACCUUUGAUGUAUUUUUAUUUUGUUAUCAAUUACUUAUUUUGCAGGUCUUUCAGAGAUAUGAAGUCUGGCGUCUCAGAUCUGCGGUCGAGAAGUGUGAGCUAGUUGUAUGGUAUCACGGAUCUUGAGGUUUUGUUUUGCAGGUAUGACGGAGAAUCGUGUCUAGAACGCGGAUCUAUGAAUGAAUCGAGGUGCUUCCACUUUGUGGAUUGAUAUGUUAUCUCAACCGUAGAUCUGUCGUGAUUGUUCGGUAAUUCGCUGCGAUCAACCGGCUACAUAUGUUGCAGAUCUCAGAUGUUGUAAUUAUAGUUUAUGGUGUGAAGCUGCGAGGAGGAAAUUAUGUGAAUGUAAGAUUUUGGGAUGAAGUGGCUCAAGGUUCUUGUCCUGAGCGAUCUUGUCAUCCGACCUUUGCCAUGUCAGGUGCGCUUGCAUGGCAGGUCAAACACAAUCUUAAUAAAAAAAAGUUUUAUUGUUUUGGGGGUAGAUCGCACGGGAGUUUCCCGGGAUCUCCCCGUCGUGUGUUAUGGGGGAGAUCGCACGGGAGUUGCCCGGGAUCUCUCCCUCGUGUGGUGUGUCCUCUGCUCCUUGCUCUUUUUCGUUAUGCCCUUCACUAAACCCUAAUUGUCGCUCGACUCCAUAAUACAACUCUGGACGGGAUGGAUACAUCAUCAGACUCGCUUCGCCUCCAAUCAAUUAAGGUAUUACCUAUUAAUUUACAUUUUGAAGGGUUGCCGUUAUCAAUUCUAUAAUCGGUAUGAGGCGUUAUAAAUGACAAAACCAACAAACUGCUCUCAUAAUUGUUUAUGGCUAUUAGGCAUCAUCUAAUUUUCAAGUUAUGUCUAAUUGAAUGAUAUGGUAAUUUCUAAGAUUUGGUAAUUUGUUAUUGGCAGAAAAUGCUUAGGGGAGUUUCUUCCAUAAUUUCCAUCUGAAAGGUAAUAGGGUUCCAAGUAAAAUUCUGAAUUAUAUUAUCCCUUAAUAAUUAUCUAAUGAAAAAUAACAGGGUGUUCGGUAAAUUUAUUUUACAAAUUAUGCUUCUUGGGCAAGCUAAUCGUGACCAAGCUCUUUUAAAAUAUUUAAAAGUUUAUUUUCUGCGACAUUCUUAUUUACGGUGUAGCUGCAAUGGUUAUGUUCAUUUGGGCAAGUAAAAGAACUUAUAACGGUGUCAUCUUUUUCGUUGUACGUUCGUGUUAAACUAGUCUUUUAUUUCCAUUAAAGAUGGAGUCCACUUUGUACAUGUACAUAUGUAAAAAUUCAAAUUCCGCCCCGACUUUCAACAGCUGUAAAGCAGCCAUAUAGUUUUGAAAGCAUGUAUUGCCAGGUGAAGAUCAUAAGCCUGUAUAUUAUCGGUUUUGCUGCUGGAGAUAAGCUUGUAUAUUAUCAAUUUUUUUGUGGACGCAAUAUGGCUUGGGAGCUCUUGGGGAUAUUCUUCAUCAAAAUCUUAUUCCACAUCUACUGUUACGGUGAAGAUAUCUUCGUGAAAUUGUAUUGGUAGCUCGAGGACAAAAAAUAUCACGGUCGGAACUAUUGACGCUUUUACUUUAUUUCACAAUUUUCAUGUUCAAGUAUAGCAGCGAAUUAUUUUGUAAUACUGAGGUAUUCUGUAAAAUAAUAUCACGGUCGGAACUAUUGAGCUAUACUGAGGUAUUCAAGUAUAGUGUUCAGAGAUGUUCCGUGUAAUUGUGGUAGAAAUGGAAGCUGUACUUGUGAGGUUAAAAUUUCAGAUACGUGGAUGUCUUUGUUUAAGAUUAUUUUCGUUUUUUGACUGCAUGCUUUUUACUGUUCUAA